GUGGGGAAUAUUGCGCAAUGGACGAAAGUCUGACGCAGCGACGCCGCGUGUGGGAUGAAGCCUUUCGGGGUGUAAACCACUGUUGCCCGGGACGAAACUCCUUUUUCGAAAGGACUGACGGUACCGGGUGAGGAAGCACCGGCUAACUCUGUGCCAGCAGCCGCGGUAAUACAGAGGGUGCGAGCGUUGUCCGGAAUCACUGGGCGUAAAGGGUGCGUAGGUGGCUUGGUAAGCGUGUGGUGAAAGUCCGGGGCUCAACCCCGGAUCUGCCGUGCGAACUGCCGAGCUCGAGCAUUGUAGAGGCAGGUGGAAUUCCGGGUGUAGCGGUGGAAUGCGUAGAGAUCCGGAAGAACACCAGUGGCGAAGGCGGCCUGCUGGGCAAUUGCUGACACUGAGGCACGACAGCGUGGGGAGCAAACAGGAUUAGAUACCCCAGUAGUCC
rnacentral:rRNA from 1 species